ensembl:lncRNA
CGCCCUCCAGUCGGAAUAAUUGGCCAAUUAAACGUCUACAUUGUCGUGCUGAAGGUGCAUGACCAGGCUUUUGAAAGAGUAGGUGGUAGUGACUGGGGCGGCAACAUGAAUCGUGUUAAACGGCCAUAAAGUGAGAAUGGCUCCGCGAGGGGAGACGCACACAGGGCAGUGAUCGAGCACCCGGGGUUAAAGGUCACACAUGCUGAAGAACAAAGGGCUGGUAAAGCAAAUGGCCCGCGCAGGACAGUCAAACAUAGGCUUGUGCGCUUCAUAAAACCGUUAGUCUUAAAGAGGCUGAGGGAAAGGGAAGUCUGAGAGAGAACAUGCCCAUCCUGCUUUGGCUGAAAACCUUAAAAGAGGAAACUGAAGUCCUCCCUCUUCAGAGAAAGCCUCAUCAUCCAAAGAGCUGCCCCUGGAGCCAUGCAUGCUCAGACAGACCAAAGCCAACCCUGAGCAGCAUAUCCCUCACACUCCAGCCCUAAGGCCCCUCACACUCCAGCCCUAAGGCCACGACGACCUUUAGAGCUCCGCCGUUACAAUGUGUGGUUCAGAGACUUGUGGGGGGAAGAGCUUCUGAAGGUGGAUGACACUGCAUUUUAGAGCCGUCUGAUACUUCUUUUCAAGGAAUCUGGCGGCCUGAAAUCCGGUGAACCGAAAACACUGUCAGACUCAUUGGUACAUGUUUUCAUGCGAACGCCGGAUUCCUGAGCAGAUUAGUUUGCAGUAACGGGGAUCAGCGGCCGGCAAUCCUCGUGGUGAGGACGCUUAAACCCAAACGAGGCAUCGCCACGGCGCAAACGUAAGGGCACAGCUUUGCGUAACUGAGGAGGGGGAGACAACGCAAGCCCAGGUCAGGCUGACACAGACCUGUCUCCCUACACAGACCUGUCUCCCCACACAGACCUGUCUCACACAACACAGGUCUGUCUCCCCUCCCGGUGCCAGGGCGUACACGCAGAGCUAUGUCAGCGGCAGUGACCCGAACGGAGGUUAUUUACAUGUUGGGAAUUACAUUGCAUAACAGCAACAAUGCGCUUUGUUUUUCCUGGUCUGUAGCCUACAUGAUCUGGUGCAAGCAGGGAUUUAGACCUACCAGUUACAAAUCCGUAAAUUACAUAGAAUUUUUCCACUGCCUGUGUCUGUGAAUCUGUCUGUGUGUGUGUGUGAAUCUGUGUGUGUGUCUGUGAAUCUGUGUGUGCGUGUGUGUCUGUGAAUCUGUGUGUGUUUGUGUGUGUAUGUGUGUCUGUGAAUCUGUGUGUGUGUCUGUGAAUCUGUGUGUGCGUGUGUGUCUGUGAAUCUGUGUGUGUUUGUGUGUGUAUGUGUGUCUGUGAAUCUGUGUGUAUGUCUGUGAAUCUGUGUGUGUGUGUGUGUGUGUGUGUGUCUGUCUGUGAAUCUGUGUGUGUUUGUGUGUGAGUGUGUCGGUGGAUGAAACACAGAAUAUACACAAGGAAGAAUAAUGAACUGCCAGGAGUGUAUGCAUAUAUUUAGGUGUGUUUGGGCGGCCUGUGCCGGAUCAAAGUCGGAUCUGCGUCAGGUCCAUCUCAGAGUGGGCUGUUUUUCCGCAGGAUGGGAGGCUUGGAGGCUUCCAGUGUGUCUAUCAGCGGGUCAAAUCGAUGAGGGACACACACACACACACACACACACACACACACACACACAUACACACACACACACAUACACACACACACACACCCAUUUCACACACACACGCACAUACACACACUAACACACACACACACACACACACACACACAUACACACAUACACUCACACACACAAAUUUCGCACUUUCAUCCCCAGCUAUUCAGUACAUACUGUGUUCAGUGAGUUUCCAUGCAUAGUGCUGUGUAAUGAUUGCUUCAGCAUAUUUAAUUAACCAUCUGUUUACUGGGCAGCGUAAUGAUGAGCUAAUGCUGUAUGUUAAAAUAUGAUCUUAUGCAAUAAACUGUCCUAUUUAUUUUAAUUAUUAGUUUCCUUCACUGGGACCCUCCCCUGAGUAGGCUGAGGCAUGUGCAGUCAAGAGCUGGGGUGAAGUGUGUGUGACCAAAUGAACAGGUUUAAAUGGAGCGCAGGAUGCCUUGUGUGUGUGUGUGUGUGUGUGUGUGUGUGUCUGUGUGUGUUUGUGUGUGUGACCAAAUUAGCAGUUUUAAAUGGAGCGCAGGAUGCCGUGUGUGUGUGUGGGGGGGGGGGGGGUGUGAGUGUGUGUGUGUGUCUGUGUGUGUAUGUAUGUGUGUGACCAAAUUAACUGGUUUAAAUGGAGUGCAGGAUGCCGUGUGUGUGUGUGUGUGUGUGUGUGUGUGUGUGUGUGAGUGUGUCGGUGGAUGAAACACAGAAUAUACACAAGGAAGAAGUGGCGAUUUUAGCCUGAGAUUUCUGGUGGG